CCUACGGGAGGCUGCAGUCGAGAAUAUUUGGCAAUGGACGAAAGUCUGACCAUGCGACGCCGCGUGCGGGAUGAAGGCCUUCGGGUCGUAAACCGCUGUUACGAGAGACGAAGACGCUAUUGGCGAACAGUCGAUAGCGUUUGACGGUACCUCGAGAGAAAGCCACGGCUAACUCCGUGCCAGCAGCCGCGGUAAUACGGAGGUGGCAAGCGUUACUCGGAUUUACUGGGUGUAAAGGGCACGUAGGCGGCCCGGUAAGCUCUGCCUAAAAUGCACUGGCUCAACCAGGGCGUGUGGUGGAGGACUGCUGGGCUUGAGGAUGACAGAGGCGAGCGGAAUUCCCGGUGUAAGGGUGAAAUCUGUAGAGAUCGGGAGGAACACCAGUGGCGAAAGCGGCUCGCUGGGUCAUUUCUGACGCUAAGGUGCGAAAGCUAGGGGAG
rnacentral:rRNA from 1 species